GUGUCAGCCGCCGCGGUAAUACGGAGGGUGCAAGCGUUAAUCGGAAUUACUGGGCGUAAAGCGCACGCAGGCGGUUGGAUAAGUUAGAUGUGAAAGCCCCGGGCUCAACCUGGGAAUUGCAUUUAAAACUGUCCAGCUAGAGUCUUGUAGAGGGGGGUAGAAUUCCAGGUGUAGCGGUGAAAUGCGUAGAGAUCUGGAGGAAUACCGGUGGCGAAGGCGGCCCCCUGGACAAAGACUGACGCUCAGGUGCGAAAGCGUGGGGAGCAAACAGGAUUAGAUACCCUGGUAGUCCACGCCGUAAACGAUGUCGAUUUGGAGGCUGUGUCCUUGAGACGUGGCUUCCGGAGCUAACGCGUUAAAUCGACCGCCUGGGGAGUACGGCCGCAAGGUUAAAACUCAAAUAAAUUGACGG
rnacentral:rRNA from 1 species